UGCAGUCGAACGGUAGCACAGGGGAGCUUGCUCCUCGGGUGACGAGUGGCGGACGGGUGAGUAAUGUCUGGGGAUCUGCCCGAUGGAGGGGGAUAACCACUGGAAACGGUGGCUAAUACCGCAUAACGUCGCAAGACCAAAGUGGGGGACCUUCGGGCCUCACACCAUCGGAUGAACCCAGAUGGGAUUAGCUAGUAGGUGGGGUAACGGCCCACCUAGGCGACGAUCCCUAGCUGGUCUGAGAGGAUGACCAGCCACACUGGAACUGAGACACGGUCCAGACUCCUACGGGAGGCAGCAGUGGGGAAUAUUGCACAAUGGGCGCAAGCCUGAUGCAGCCAUGCCGCGUGUAUGAAGAAGGCCUUCGGGUUGUAAAGUACUUUCAGCGGGGAGGAAGGGGACGAGGUUAAUAACCUCGUUCAUUGACGUUACCCGCAGAAGAAGCACCGGCUAACUCCGUGCCAGCAGCC
rnacentral:rRNA from 1 species